CCUACGGGAGGCAGCAGUGAGGAAUAUUGGUCAAUGGGCGCGAGCCUGAACCAGCCAAGCAGCGUGAAGGAUGACUGCCCUACGGGUUGUAAACUUCUUUUAUAAAGGAAUAAAGUGAGGCACGUGUGCCUUUUUGUAUGUACUUUAUGAAUAAGGAUCGGCUAACCCCGUGCCAGCAGCCGCGGUAAUACGGAGGAUCCGAGCGUUAUCCGGAUUUAUUGGGUUUAAAGGGAGCGUAGAUGGGUUGUUAAGUCAGGUGUGAAAGUUGGCGGCUCAACCGUAAGAGUGCAAUUGAUACUGGCAGUCUUGAGUACAGUUGAGGUAGGCGGAAUUCGUGGUGUAGCGGUGAAAUGCUUAGAUAUCACGAAGAACUCCGAUUGCGAAGGCAGAUUACUAAACUGCCACUGACAUUGAUGCUCGAAAGUGUGGGUAUCAAACAGGAUUAGAUACCCUUGUAGUC
rnacentral:rRNA from 1 species